rnacentral:lncRNA from 1 species
GCUCGGAGGCGCCGGCGAUGGAGAAGAUGGACCUCCUUGUCCGGGAAUUUGAAUGGUCUUCCAUGGAUCGCCGGCUAGGGAUAGCUGGCGUUAAUCCUAUCCGCAUCCUCCAUGACUCGUCCAUUUUCCGGCGAGGUUCACCGGUGAGCUUCUCCUCUUCACUGAUCGGAAAAUUCACUGGAAAGAAAGGAAGUGUAGCUUGUGGUUAUAUAUAGAGUUGAAGAAGAUGAAACAAAAGAAUAAAAGUAAUUAAAAAACAGGAAAAGUGAUUUGUGAAAAAAAAGUCAUUGAUUGACUUUUACUCUUUCUUUAUGCUUCACUUGUUUAAAUAUUUUUUCAGUAAAUAUAUAAAUAACUUAUCAAUAUUCAUACUUUUUGGUGUGUAUAUUUUUGUUUUUCGGAUGUAUUCCUGUUAGUAUACCGUGCAUUCAGGCAUUCAGAAGAUCUGAAUUGUUUGAUUAACAUCAAUCGAUUUAUAUAUUUUAUCAAGAUUAGAUAGUAGAUAUAAGUUUAAAAUCAGAGUCAACCUCUUAGAUUGCACGACUGUCUGAAUUUAGGAAAUCUCUUACGGCAAGGAAUCCAAAUUCUUGUAUGUGAUUUACAAAUUCCAACAUGGAUUAGUAGUGGUUAAGUUUAAUGUAGAUCGUCUUAACGGUCAACGGAAAUUUAAACAUACAUUGUGAAGUUGUUAUUAUUCUUGUGCCUCACCAUUUUAUAAAAAUAAUGUUAUGAUCCACUAAAAUACUUAAACUUAGAUAAAGGGUUUGAUCAGAAAUGUGAGUCAAAUGAGUAAGCAAAGAAUGGUUGCUUAAUUUCUGGGUCUUGCCAUUAUUGCUGUUUUUGUUUGUUGAGUGAUCAAUUUUUGCUUUAUGUGAAUGAUUAGUGAUAUGUGAUGGGAAUGCAUAGUGGGAUAAUUUGUAUCAAUUUGAUUACCUGGAAAGAUACAUAGGCUGGAAAUUGGAGUUGAAGUCCCCACAGACACCAUCAUAAUUCAUUCAAUGUUUCAUUUUCCCUACUUUGCAUUAUUCUUUUCAAUUGCUUUAUGGGGGUGGGGCAACUGAUUCUGUUUUGUGAUCCUGUUUAGCUUUUUGGUUUUUCUCAAGCUCUGUGAGUUUGUAGAGGCAUGAAACUGGAAUGCAUUAUUUUAACCUUGAGAAAGAGAUUAAUGUUUGGUUUUCAGUUACAGCCACAUUUGGGUGUCUCAUAUCUCAUGUUCUCAAUUUUCAAUGAACCUCAAUGUGAAAGGAAGAAAUUUUUAGAUUGAGUAAACCAACUUCCAUAUUCAGAAAGCAACACACUAAGAGGACAAAAUCAAUAUAUAGAAAGUAAUGUGUGUCCAUACCCUGAGAUGCUGUCACUCUCUAAUAGUUGUUACUUUUAAUUGAGGGAAUUAAAGGAAAAUGUAGGAACUAUGGAUUUAUGUGUAUGGCAGAAGAUGAAGUUGCCAAAAGGGGCAGGUGAAGGAACGGAUGAUUGAUACCUGAGAAUGAGACACUGCAUUAAAGGCUUAAAUAUAUUUUCAGAUUUUCUCAGAAGCUUUAUGGCUUACCCUUUACUUUAAAUUUCUAUUUAAGAGGUCAUAAUCAAUACAUUGCUGGUGAGACCAUCAUCGACUAACAGAGAGGCCUAAUGAUUUUUGAGGUUUUCCAUUUUUAAAAUUUCCUUUUUUCUUGUUCUAGUUGUACUAAUUUUUGUUAUCUGGUUGUGUUAGGCUGUUUUCAAUGAGUUCUGGUAUUGGGUCAGCCGAGCUCCAUGAGCCGAUCUAAUCUUCUUAAGGCAUUGUCUAAGAGACCAGGGUGGUGCGAAGACCCAAUCUGGCGAACAAGCAUUUCCAAAUCGAGAUGAGGUUGAUCAUUAAUAAGCCAUAAAGACAUGAAUGCGUUGGGAGUGAUUCUCACCUCAAUGAUUGGUCAAGACAUGAAUGUCAUCAUAAGCUAUUUACGCAAAGAUCAAUUACAUGCAUGAUGUAAUGUGUCGAUAGGUUUAACCGAUUAGAUAAUGAGUCCCUCUGCUAUGACUAAGAUAUUCUCAUUAUGUGGAUUUUAGGGCUGAGUUAGGACUCUCUUGACCUAGCUUAUACCUUAGGUUCAUAAAUAAUUUUGAAUUUCAGAAACUACUCACAUAAGUGUCUUCUCAUAAGUGAUUCUGUUUAGAAGAGUUUCCAAACAUACAAUACAUCUACUGCCUUGUGUGCUAGGUAAAGGGAACAUGUUGAAUUAAAAACUGGUGAUUUUAGAUCAUCACAGAUAAAUACAAUUAAGUCCCAUGUGACUGGCCC